rnacentral:rRNA from 1 species
AGAGUACGUGAAACCGUCCAGGGGUAAACCUGAGAAACCCGAAAGGUCGAAAGGGGAGAUUCAGCGUGUCUCGGCGGCGGCGCCGGACGGUCGUGCGACGGCAGGCGUACGCGUCUGCCGCACCUUCCGUUCUACGCGAACCGCUGCCGAACGCGUGCACUUCUCCCCCUGUAGGACGUCGCGAUCCGUUGGGUGCCGGCCUAAGGCCCGCGAUGGAGCCCGUCCGUGGACGGUCCCCGCCGUUCCGGACGAACUCGCGGUGUUUUCCCGGUCGGCUCGCUCGACGGUAUACAGAUGGCGCGGGGCCGCUGCCAAACAGAAAAGUUAGCGUCCGACCGGCGGCAAGCGCGCUCGUCGCGACGGUGAUCGGACCCGGUGCCGGUCCCGUCCCCGAGUGGCUGUUGGCCGCCGUGCUCUUGGACAGACCCCGAUAAAUGAAACGCCGAUCUGCGACGCUAUAGCUUUGGGUACUUUCAGGACCCGUCUUG